GGGGGCAACCCUGACCGAGCAACGCCGCGUGAGUGAAGAAGGUUUUCGGAUCGUAAAGCUCUGUUGUAAGUCAAGAACGAGUGUGAGAGUGGAAAGUUCACACUGUGACGGUAGCUUACCAGAAAGGGACGGCUAACUACGUGCCAGCAGCCGCGGUAAUACGUAGGUGGCAAGCGUUAUCCGGAAUUAUUGGGCGUAAAGCGCGCGUAGGCGGUAAAAUAAGUCUGAUGUGAAAGCCCCCGGCUCAACCGGGGAGGGUCAUUGGAAACUGUUUUACUUGAGUACAGAAGAGGAGAGUGGAAUUCCAUGUGUAGCGGUGAAAUGCGCAGAGAUAUGGAGGAACACCAGUGGCGAAGGCGGCUCUCUGGUCUGUUACUGACGCUGAGGUGCGAAAGCGUGGGGAUCAAACAGGAUUAGAUACCCUGGUAGUCCACGCCGUAAACGAUGAGUGCUAAGUGUUGGGGGUUUCCGCCCCUCAGUGCUGCAGCUAACGCAUUAAGCACUCCGCCUGGGGAGUACGACCGCAAGGUUGAAACUCAAAGGAAUUGACGGG
rnacentral:rRNA from 1 species